CGGCCAGCCAGUCCGAUUUUAGAAGUGAAAAGGAGGAAAUCUCCUGUUUUACGAAGAAAACGGAGACACAUUUCAGAAAAUUUGAACGCAGUUACCCCACACAAAGUGCAGAUCAUCGACGAGGAGCCACCGUCCCCAAUUAUUUCCGCGCACCGGAGACCAGAGAGACUGCACAGACGGAAAACACUCGUCUGCGAUGCGGAAAGUCAAUCCGUCAUGCUAGUAGAGAGCCCAACAAAAUCUCCAGACAUCAGAAACAGAUCAGUUGCAAGCAUAAGUCCAGUUGCAUCGCCGAAAGUGGUGCCGAGGAAGGCGUUGAAUAUGGAUUUCGAAAUAGUGGACGUUAGCCAAGCCGAAGAGUGUCCGGGCGAGCAAUUGAUCGAGUGUCCCUCGUCUCAAGACACCAAGAUUUCAGUUGGAUUGCAAAUUCAAAGUGCGUCGUCAGUGUCGGAAACUCUCACAGCGUCGCAAAAUCUCCACUCGGAUUCAUCAGGGAAAGAUUUGACCGGUUCGGUCCCACCUUUAGAUUCUGCAAAGAAAAAGAGAAAGCCAAAAAGAAACGGGCUGAUGGAGAAAUUACAAAGAGUAAAAAACCAGCAGCGCUCCUCGCGCCGAAUUUUGCUCCAUUUAAAACAGAAAGGAGAGAAACUAACAAAAGGAUUAACUCUUCAAAUCUCGAGCGUCAGUAACAUUGGCUCAAGUGCUGUUGUG